AUUGAACGCUGGCGGCAUGCCUAACACAUGCAAGUCGAACGGCAGCACAGCAGUAGCAAUACUGUGGGUGGCGAGUGGCGGACGGGUGAGGAAUACGUCGGAAUCUGCCCAGUCGUGGGGGAUAACUAGCCGAAAGGUUAGCUAAUACCGCAUACGACCGAGAGGUGAAAGCGGGGACCGCAAGGCCUCGCGCGAUUGGAUGAGCCGACGUCGGAUUAGCUAGUUGGCGGGGUAAAGGCCCACCAAGGCGACGAUCCGUAGCUGGUCUGAGAGGAUGAUCAGCCACACUGGAACUGAGACGACGGUCCAGACUCCGUACGGGAGGCAGCAGGUGGGGAA
rnacentral:rRNA from 1 species